rnacentral:rRNA from 1 species
UUUGUCUUAAUUGUAGACCUGUAUGAAAGGCUAAAUGAGAGUCCAACUGUCUCUUACAACAAAUCAAUAAAACUGAUCUCCUAGUACAAAAGCUAGAAUACUAACAUAAGACCAGAAGACCCUGUGAAGCUUUAACAAACCCAUUAAAUCAAAUAAUGAUUACUUUCGGUUGGGGCGACCUUGGAAUAAAAAAGAACUUCCAACAUAUGACCUACUCAUAAAACAGGCAAACAAGCCAAUACUAGACCCAGCACAGCUGAUAAUUGAAAUAAGUUACUCCAGGGAUAACAGCGCUAUCUUCUUUAAGAGCCCAUAUCAAAAAGAAGGUUUACGACCUCGAUGUUGGAUCAGGACAUCCCAGUAAUGCAUCCGUUACUAAAGGUUCGUUUGUUCAACGAUUAACAGUCCUACGUGAUCUGAG